GCUAUAAGAAGGGCCACGGCAACCUUUUCAAUAGAACAGCGUUUUCAAUGACCUUGAACGAUCUCAGUUAACCAUGUCAUUGUUGUUAGUUAUGAAUCUCAGUUAACCAUCCUCGGCGCAGCUCGUAUUCUCUCGGCUCAGCUAGCUCAGCUCGGAUAGCACUCAAGGUACCACUGUUAGUUCACCUCCGGCCGGUGCUAUUCGGCAGAGCGCGCUAGUGUCGUAGUCUUUGGACCUGUCUCCCAGCAAGGCGAGCUGUAACCUUUGACCCUGCACCUGUUUACACUAUUGCCGCUGUCGGCCAUUAUUGCCAGAAUCACGAUAAGUUCGGAAUUUGUUAAGUUAAUAAAUGUGCGUUUAGCUUAUGUUUGGUUGUUGUAUGGCGAUUGUAAUAAUUCUCCAGUGUCAUCCCAAAUUCGGAGCAUCUUUUCUGCGUAGCCAACGAUGUUAACUGCAAAGCAACGAAGGGCCUGCGCCAAGUGUGGACAUAGCAGCAGUAAAUCAACCCGGUCUUUCCAUCGAAUUCCUAAACCAGGAGGAGCCAAUACGGAAAAAUGCCUGGGAGUCUGAAUCUGAUCUACUGGCCCUGUACAAGAAGUCGAGAGUUGUUUGAAAUUGUAAAAUUUGAAAACUGUAAAAAAUUGUAAAACUGUAAACAAUUGUAAAAUAUGUAUAUUUAAUUUAUGAAACAUUAAAUGCGUACCUCACUCGUAAAGUAAUUUGUAACAAUGAACUGACAAUACUAUGUUCAGCUCUUAUGUAUUUCUUUCUUUUGCAAAAUAUCUUUUUAUAUAAAUUUUACAUGCACUCUAAA